rnacentral:rRNA from 1 species
GGAGGAAUAUUGGUCAAUGGACGGGAGUCUGAACCAGCCAAGUAGCGUGCAGGAUGACGGCCCUAUGGGUUGUAAACUGCUUUUGUGCGGGGAUAAAGUGUGGGACGUGUCCCAUAUUGCAGGUACCGCAUGAAUAAGGACCGGCUAAUUCCGUGCCAGCAGCCGCGGUAAUACGGAAGGUCCGGGCGUUAUCCGGAUUUAUUGGGUUUAAAGGGAGCGUAGGCCGGAGAUUAAGCGUGUUGUGAAAUGCCGCGGCUCAACCGUGGCACUGCAGCGCGAACUGGUUUCUUGAGUGCGCGCAACGUUGGCGGAAUUCGCCGUGUAGCGGUGAAAUGCUUAGAUAUGGCGAAGAACUCCGAUUGCGAAGGCAGCUGACGGGUGCGUAACUGACGCUCAU